CAGGCAGGGUCUUGAUCUUGAAUGGACUAAAAGGGUAUGCAGACAUGAGACCAGGAAAAAUAAUCUGAAUUACCUUUUUGACUAUUCCUUACCUUCGAGGGACUUCCUGCUUGGCAUACUUGACACUCACUGUGUACGGGCCCUCAAUGGCAGGGGUGUAGUUGACCGUGUAAUACCCACCACCGUUGUCUUUAACACUGACAGGCUCAGUGAAACCUAGAGAACCAACAGAAGUUCAUCUUCUGUUUAGUGACUGGUUUGUGACAUAAUUGGACACUUGACAAAAUCAUUUUUAAGCAGACUGACAACAAUUUAAACAGGCCCAUGUUCCAGAUUGUCACCUGUAGGGCCAAAUAUCUGGACUUCUAAAGGGGCUACACCAGUUUUGCUGCUGUCCACUGUGAAAGUCUGACAGACGUGAGCACGAACUCCACUUCCAAGACCAGGCCCAGAACACCUCACCUUAGUGGGAUCAAUCAGCUCUCGCACUGUGACCCGAAAUGGACUUCCUGCAAAUAUGAGUGCUGUUGUUUAAGCCAGUGAACUCUGUACGUCCCCAUGCUGGACUUCAGUCAACUCAAGAUCGAGCACCUUGAAUUGGAAGUCCUCCAAAGGACAUCUUUGCCUCAGAAGGGCCCUCGAUGGCAAGGCCAAGACCACCUGUGCCAGCACCCCUGAGGAGUGCAGGACAGGAAGGAGUCACAAAAGAAGAAAAAACAGAGACAGUCACAAAAGAAGAAAAAACAGAGGCGGAAGAGAUCAACAAUCAACAGGCGGCUAUGAUGGCAUCACACACACUUCAUCAAUCAACUAUUGAUGACAGUUACUACCACUACUAUAUUUAGAUAUCAUACCUGAUCCAUGACGAGUGGUUUAUGGAAGCAACACGAUGGAUAAGUGAUUCCGCAAGAGGGCUAUGAAGUCACUUCCUGUUAAGUCAAGAUGACAGCGAUGACCAAUAUAAAGUUGGCGGCCUCAACCUUCUGAGUGAUGUAAAGGGAAGUCAUCAUUUCUGCAGUAGAAAAAGUUAAGAUCAUCCGCAGGUGAGUGCAAGCAGGUCAACAAAAAGAGUGUGGCUAUACCUGCUCUACACCAGUACCCAAUCAAAACUCCUACGAGGGUGUGGAGAAGAACAUGACACGUGUCACUUCUUGUCAGCCAAUCAGG